GUGGACGGAACGCUUCUUUCAACAGCAGCAACAGUUUGUCAGCCACCUCGAAGAGGAGGUCUGCUGGACAGAGAAAGAGGGACUGUGGCUGAACGUUGUCGUGAAAGAGGAAGAAGAGGAUGUCACAAUACAAAGAAGAGGAAGACGCGUUCAGAGUGAAAGAGGAGGAUGAUAUUACUGUAAAAGAAGAGGAUGCGGUUCUUAGCCAGCCAGCUAACGUUAGCUAUAUGCAGUUAUCUUAGCCGGCCAGCUAACGUUAGCUAUAUGCAGUUAUCUUAGCCAGCCAGCUAACGUUAGCUAUAUGCAGUUAUCUUAGCCAGCCAGCUAACGUUAGCUAUAUGCAGUUAUCUUAGCCGGCCAGCUAACGUUAGCUAUAUGCAGUUAUCUUAGCCAGCCAGCUAACGUUAGCUAUAUGCAGUUAUCUUAGCCAGCCAGCAACAUUACAAGCAGUGAACAUCUGAAAUUCACCCUCACCUUUGAUGCGCAUGAAACAAGUUAUCUGGACAUUUUUAUUAAGAGGGAGGGGGGUGGCUUUAGCACAGACCUAUACAGGAAGCCGACGGACAGGGAUUCCCUGUUACGCGGAGGCAGCUUCCACCCUACACCCCUAAAAAACAAUUGUAAUACUUGAGUAAAGAAAACAUUUAAAAUGUAAAUUUUUAAUUUUGUAAAUUUAAAACAAAAACAUAACUGUUUGCACUUAUUGGACUCAAUUACUUGUGUAAUUUUCUUCCCUAAAUCUGUCUGUUUCCUAGCUCUGUUCCCUGCUUCGGAAUUGUUUGUCAUAUGUCCUUGUUUAUCCGUGUGCCUACACUGUUCCUGUCAUGUUCUUUGUCUGUUCCAGAAUAAAUGUUUGACUCCCCAUA